AUUGAACGCUGGCGGCAGGCUUAACACAUGCAAGUCGAGCGGAGCGGCGGACGGGUGUGUAAUGCUUAGGAAUCUGCCUAUUAGUGGGGGAUAACAUCUCGAAAGGGCUGCUAAUACCGCAUACUAAUAUAUGAGCCUCCGUCGGAUUAGCUAGUCGGUGGGUUAAAGGCCUACCAAGGCGACGAUCUGUAGCGGGUCUGAGAGGGUGAUCCGCUACACUGGGACUGAGACACGGCCCAGACUCCUACGGGAGGCAGCAGUUGGGAAUAUUGGGCAAUGGGGGGAACCCUGAGCCAGCCAUGCCGCGUGAGUGAAGAAGGCCUUAGGGUUGUAAAGCUCUUUAGGCGAGGAGGCGUUACUCACAGAAGAAGCACCGGCUAACUCCGUGCCAGCAGCCGCGGUAAUAC
rnacentral:rRNA from 1 species